rnacentral:rRNA from 1 species
AGAGUUUGAUCCUGGCUCAGGAUGAACGCUGGCGGUAUGCUUAACACAUGCAAGUCGAACGGACUCUUCGGAGUUAGUGGCGGACGGGUGAGUAACGCGUGAGAAUCUGCCUUCAGGUUCGGGACAACCACUGGAAACGGUGGCUAAUACCGAAUGUGCAGAGAUGUGAAAUAUUUAUAGCCUGAAGAUGAGCUCGCGUCUGAUUAGCUAGUAGGUGUGGUAAGAGCGCACCUAGGCGACGAUCAGUAGCUGGUCUGAGAGGAUGAUCAGCCACACUGGGACUGAGACACGGCCCAGACUCCUACGGGAGGCAGCAGUGGGGAAUUUUCCGCAAUGGGCGAAAGCCUGACGGAGCAAUACCGCGUGAGGGAGGAAGGCUCUUGGGUUGUAAACCUCUUUUCUCAGGGAAGAAAAAAAUGACGGUACCUGAGGAAUAAGCAUCGGCUAACUCCGUGCCAGCAGCCGCGGUAAUACGGAGGAUGCAAGCGUUAUCCGGAAUGAUUGGGCGUAAAGCGUCCGCAGGUGGCAGUGUAAGUCUGCUGUUAAAUAGUGAGGCUCAACCUCAUAAAGGCAGUGGAAACUACAUGGCUAGAGUGCGUUCGGGGCAGAGGGAAUUCCUGGUGUAGCGGUGAAAUGCGUAGAGAUCAGGAAGAACACCGGUGGCGAAAGCGCUCUGCUAGGCCGCAACUGACACUGAGGGACGAAAGCUAGGGGAGCGAAUGGGAUUAGAUACCCCAGUAGUCCU